rnacentral:rRNA from 1 species
UACGGAGGUUGCAAGCGUUGUUCGGAAUGACUGGGCGUAAAGGGAGCGCAGGCGGCUUGUUAAGUCUGGAGUGAAAGCCCGGGGCUCAACCCCGGCGGGUCUUCGGAUACUGGCAAGCUAGAGUACGGAAGAGGAAAGCGGAAUUCCAGGUGUAGCGGUGAAAUGCGUAGAUAUCUGGAGGAACACCGGUGGCGAAAGCGGCUUUCUGGUCCGAUACUGACGCUCAGGCUCGAAAGCGUGGGGAGCAAACGGGAUUAGAUACCCCGGUAGUCCACGCCGUAAACGUUGUGCGCUAGGUGUAGGAGGUAUCGACCCCUCCUGUGCCGCAGCUAACGCAUUAAGCGCACCGCCUGGGGAGUACGCCCGCAAGGGUGAA